rnacentral:lncRNA from 1 species
GUCUGGAAGCAGCUCCUUAAGGAGUGCCCAUGAGCUCCACCAGAGGGCACUCCACCCCUGACUCUUGUCACAGUCUCACAAACUACAUUUCCCAUAAUCCUUUGCCGGACUCAUCAUCACUGAUUGCCUUCACCUGUGUCUAUUUACCUUAUCAAUCUCACACUAUGAAGGUUGCACUCAUCCACACACACAUCGCUGAGUAUUGCUAGCCUGUAGCGUUUCCAAGUUCCCUCUCGAAGCGGCGACGACCGCUCCAGCUACUCCCGAGGUGGCAACUUGUGCUGCAGAACCUCCAGAGGCAUCGGCGUCUGCCUUUGAAUUCUCUGCCGGUCCAGCCGCGGCCAAAGAGGCCACCUGUGAACCCUCUGAUUUGUCUUGUCACGCCCAAGGAAGCCGUCUCUGAACUCUCAACCUGUCCUGUCACGGCCAAGGAGGCUGUCUUCGAGUUCUUCGCCUAUCCAGUCACGGCCAAAGAGGCCGACUGUGAACUCUCUGACUGUCCUGUUUCGGCCACAGAGGUCAUUGAUAACCUCUCUGUGCUCUGUAUUCCAGUUCAGCCUGAUCCACCAUGGUGGUUCCCUGCUCCAUCAGCUCCACCCUGGUGGUCAUCUGCUCCACCGUGGCGAUCUUUGGUCCCGUCUGUUCAGCUGUGGUGGUCAUCUACUCCACUGUGGGGGUCUUCGAUCCCAUCUUCUCUGCUGUGGUGGUCUUCUGCUCCGCCCUGGUUGUCCUCUGCUCUGCCGGCUCUGUCCCGGCUUCCUGCUCUGCUGGCUCCACCUUGGUUUCCUGCUCCGCCCUGGUACCCUGCUCUGCCGGCUCUGCUUCAGUCUCCAGGCCCAUGUUCGCAAAUUUGCCUAUGAACUGGCAAAGGCUCACAACUGCCAGCAGCCCAAGUCAUGGGAUGAGCAUGGAGUGGCUGGGGCUGACUGGUUAGAUGGUUUCCUGAACAGGCACCCAAGCCUUUCCCUGAGACAGCCACAAGAUUAGCUAGGAGAACAAGCUUUAAUAAAACCAACAAUCUGGCAGAGGUAUUUCAAAAACACCAUUUCACUGC